GCCCAAGUGGCGAAAUUGGUAGACGCACUGUGUUCAGGUCGCAGCGCCGAAAGGCAUGCUGGUUCGAGUCCAGUCUUGGGCACCA
rnacentral:tRNA from 1 species